rnacentral:pre_miRNA from 1 species
AUUUCUUUUAACAUAUCAAGAAGUCGAAUUGGCAGUGAAGAAAUAAGUAGGAAAACGAAAACCAUCAUUGCCUAUAACUAAAACCCAUUAAACCCAUACCAUACUUUUUUCUUUACUGCCAAUUUGACUUCCUGAUAUGUUGAAAGAAAU